AAAUGAAUUGACGGGGACCCGCACAAGCAGCGGAGCAUGUGGUUUAAUUCGAAGCAACGCGAAGAACCUUACCAGGGCUUGACAUCCCUCUGACCGGCGCGUAACGGUGCCUUCCCUUCGGGGCAGAGGAGACAGGUGGUGCAUGGUUGUCGUCAGCUCGUGUCGUGAGAUGUUGGGUUAAGUCCCGCAACGAGCGCAACCCUUGUCAUUAGUUGCCAUCAGGUUAAGCUGGGCACUCUAGUGAGACCGCCGGGGAUAACUCGGAGGAAGGUGGGGACGACGUCAAAUCAUCAUGCCCCUUAUGUUCUGGGCUACACACGUGCUACAAUGGUCGGUACAGAGAGAAGCAAAAUCGCAAGGUGGAGCAAAACUCUAAAACCGAUCCCAGUUCGGAUUGCAGGCUGAAACCCGCCUGCAUGAAGUCGGAGUUGCUAGUAAUCGCGAAUCAGAAUGUCGCGGUGAAUGCGUUCCCGGGUCUUGUACACACCGCCCGU
rnacentral:rRNA from 1 species